AGAGCGUCUCGGAUCAUUGACAACUAAAUAGGAGCAGCAACGUCCAAUUAAAGGGCCCUGAUCACGAAACACAGGAACAAAAUGAAUCUGGAGAGUUUGAUCCUGGCUCAGAACGAACGCUGGCGGCGUGCCUAACACAUGCAAGUCCAACGUGAAAGGGGAGCAAUCCCCCGGUAGGGUGGCAAACGGGUGAGUAAUACAUGGGUGAUCUACCUUAGGGAUGGGGAUAUCCUUCCGAAAGGAGGCGAGCACCGCGACGCCGGCCAGAGGCAGCGCGAGCGCGUCGAGCAUCAUGGCAAGGCAGGCUCCGGCGUCGCCGGCGGCGACUUCAGGCGCACGCCACGUCCGCCGCCGCCGCUGGUCUGGCCCUCGCUGAUCAGCUCGAUCCCGCUGCGCUCCAGCGCUUCGAUCAGCUUCAUCAGCGAAUCCACGGUGCCACGCACGGUGCCGUCGCU
rnacentral:rRNA from 1 species